rnacentral:pre_miRNA from 1 species
CUACCCUCGCAUCCCUCCAAAAAUCUUUGCUGAAAAAAUAAAUAAACAUUAAGUAGAGAAAAUAUAUGCCACAACAAGGGUUGUGGCAUAUUUUCUCUACUUAAUGUUUAUUUAUUUUUUCAGCAAAGAUUUUUGGAGGGAUGUGAGGGUAG